GCUUGCUUGGUUUGGGUGCGUGUGUAGUUAUGCUAAAAUUAUUUCCGAAUUCUUUUCUUGUAUCUAUAUCACGAUAAAUUCCAAGUUGUUUUUAAGAUAUUUUGAUCUUUAUUGAUACAGUGUUAGAAGAAGAAAAUUUGGAAAUUGAAGGCAUCGUGAGUCUCGUCAGCAAUGGAAUGAAUGAGUUAAGGGCAAGGAUUCCAAAGACUGAUUCGAAUGCUGCCACAUCGGUGGUACAACGAAGGGAAUAGCCACCAUUUUCCUCCUUGUAAAAGUCAUGUGGGGUAGGCAAAACCAAAUCGUCAUUUCCCUGGCCUGUUGUCGAAGCAAGUGUGAGACGCUAUAUUCUCACCCACCAGCGAGGGACCGGCAACCCAUCCUGGCAAUACCCUGUCGUCGAGCAACCAGGACAUCAUAUUGAGAUUUUGCCACUCAAAACAAAUUCCGAAAUUUUCCAAUGAGAAAAGAUGCGUUUCAGAUGUCCAGUCUGUGCGAUGAAAAUAGAAAAAAAAAGAUAUAUUUUUAUCUAUUCAUUUGGAGCUAUUAAAAAAUAUUUAAUAUAAACGUAAAUAUGUGUUUCUUAGUUUUCAAUGUCGUUCAACGUACUUUCUAAAAAUUUAAUUUAUAAAGGAAGAUUCAGGAUUUUUGUAAGCCAAACAUAAACAUUUUACGAUCAGAUUAAUAAAAAAUAAAUUUGAAGCGUUUCAGCAUUUUAGAUUCAAUUUGAAAUUUUAAAAAAAAAUAUAUUCCAUCCAGUAUCUUUUCCGGGUAACCAAAAAUCUUACUUUUAUAAUCAUAAAAUUAAUAUAAAUAUUUGAAACAAAAAGAAAAAAACAAAAACUAAGAUUUCCCCACUCGCAAACAAAAGCUGUUAUCAAUAAUCCCAGAAAAUUGCAAUUUCCUAUUAAAUUUGGUUACUUUACAAUUCUUUCGAAUUAUCUGUAUCUUUGGUUGUAAAUUUAUU